rnacentral:rRNA from 1 species
UACGUAGGGUGCAAGCGUUGUCCGGAAUUAUUGGGCGUAAAGAGCUCGUAGGCGGUUUGUCGCGUCCGCUGUGAAAACUCAGGGCUUAACCCUGAGCCUGCAGUGGGUACGGGCAGACUAGAGUGUGGUAGGGGAGAUCGGAAUUCCUGGUGUAGCGGUGAAAUGCGCAGAUAUCAGGAGGAACACCGGUGGCGAAGGCGGGUCUCUGGGCCGAUACUGACGCUGAGGAGCGAAAGCGUGGGGAGCGAACAGG